rnacentral:lncRNA from 1 species
UAAUUCAUUUAGGGGUAAAAUAGUUAUUUGAUUUAAAUUAUUUAACGGAUUCAAAUUUUAUUAGUAUAAAAGUGGUUGAUUGAUAUGAGUUUAGAACAAAUGUGGCGCAAAAAACAUAUCAACAUUUUGUGUACUUAAACAUACAUGUGAUAAAAGAGAGGUGGUGUAAAGAUAAUUUCUCAUUUAUAUUUCACGUAGGUAGAAGUUGGGUUACCAAUAUAUUGCUUAAAAAAUUAAAGAUACAUAAUGUUAAAUUUCUAAUUAAAAUUCAUUACAUUUAUAAAAUUAAAUUGUACUCAUAUUAAAUUCAUUAACUUAAAGUGAACCUUCAAAUUUAUUAUUUUAGUGAAUUUUAAAAUCAUUUUUUAUAAGUUUUGAGAAAUAUAAAAAUAAAUGAGGACUAUUUUAAACUAGGUUAAUAUAUUUAAAAUUUUGAUACAAACUUUUAGUCGUUGAUCACAUGACAAUCCAAUGGUAAGUAAAAUGGCAUCAUUAAAUUCUAUUUUGAUCUUAAAUCUUUAUUAUUAGAUUGCAUGAGAUUGAUAGGUGAAAUUUUGUAUCAAAAUAUGAACAAAAUAAUAAUAGUGUAAUCGAUAAUGUCGUUAAAUUCAAUUUUAAUUCAUUGUUUAUCAAGCAAAUAAAGAGGUAAUUCUUCUUCGUCUUUGUCAUUAGACUUUAUGCUUAUUUUGGAGGUAGUACGGGUCCAAAAUAUAUAUAUAUAUAUAAUAAUGCCAGUGGUCAAUGUUGUAUUAGACUGCCAAAUUUUGGAAUAAAAAUAAAAAAGAUGCCCCAUUUUCUAAUCGGAUAAUAACACGAGAGUCCCCAAUUGUUUGAUAAUUUAUAAAGUAAGUACAUGUCUUCCCCAUUUAUGUUAUGUAGGUCACUGGCCCACUAGCCCCAACAAGGCUGAAAAUGCUCGAGUGCUUAAAGGACCACCAAAGUAUUUCAUCGAAAAGCAUUUUCCUUGACGAUGAUCAAAUCACUUUUGAGUAGGGAUGGCAAUGGGAAAGGGAGGGAAGGGGAUCGAUUUCCUCAUAUUCAUUCCCGAUAUUUUGCGUAUGUCCUCAUCCUCUCUCCGUCCUCGUCAGAAUUACUUGAGAGAAUUUUCAUUCUCUCCCCGAAUAAUAACAGGGGAUCCCUGAAGGUCCCCGAUCCCUGAAUAACUAA